rnacentral:rRNA from 1 species
UACGGGGGGGGCAAGCGUUAUUCGGAAUUAUUGGGCGUAAAGGGCGCGUAGGCGGCCGCGUAAGUCAAAGGUGAAAUCCCUCAGCUCAACUGAGGAACUGCCUUUGAUACUGCAUGGCUUGAGGCCGGGAGGGGGUAGCGGAAUUCCCAGUGUAGCGGUGAAAUGCGUAGAUAUUGGGAGGAACACCAGUGGCGAAGGCGGCUACCUGGACCGGUGCUGACGCUGAUGCGCGAAAGCGUGGGGAGCAAACAGG